GACGAACGCUGGCGGCGUGCUUAACACAUGCAAGUCGAACGGAAAGGCCCUGCUUUUGUGGGGUGCUCGAGUGGCGAACGGGUGAGUAACACGUGAGUAACCUGCCCUUGUCUUUGGGAUAACUUCAGGAAACUGGGGCUAAUACCGGAUAGGAGCUCCUGCUGCAUGGUGGGGGUUGGAACGUUUCGGCGGUUGGGGAUGGACUCGCGGCUUAUCAGCUUGUUGGUGGGGUAGUGGCUUACCAAGGCUUUGACGGGUAGCCGGCCUGAGAGGGUGACCGGCCACAAUGGGACUGAGAUACGGCCCAGACUCCUACGGGAGGCAACAGUGGGGAAUAUUGCACAAUGGGCGGAAGCCUGAUGCAGCAACGCCGCGUGCGGGAUGACGGCCUUCGGGUUGUAAACCGCUUUCGCCUGUGACGAAGCGUGAGUGACGGUAAUGGGUAAAGAAGCACCGGCUAACUACGUG
rnacentral:rRNA from 1 species